rnacentral:lncRNA from 1 species
AUUCCAAACACCCUUCUUCAAAAUUCCCUUCUUCUCUCUCAUAAGGAAAACCUAAUCGAGAAAGAAAUUUAUAAUGUGCUAAGACCAUGUUUGUCUAAAAAUAAUUUACUUAUAAGUAAGAAGUAUGUUUUAAAAUAAUUUUUAAAAUGGUGAAGGUUAAUAAGUCACUUAGAGAGGAUAAAUUAAUAGUUAUAUUGAAUAAAGUUAAUCCAAAUUUUUAGUAAAAUAACAUAAAAUUGACUAAUUGAGGCUUGGGCAAACAUGCUCUUAAAUUGAAAUCUCCCAUUUAUAAAGCGCCCCAUUUUCAUCUGAAAUUCUUCUCCAUUUUCUCCAACCGCGCAAAUCGUCUCUAGGCUAGAUUCUCUCCUCAUUAAACCAAAUUCUUUAAUGGAUACAUUGAUAAUCGGUUCAAUUGAGAAUUGGUUGUUAUGUUUUGGCGUUAAUUGUUCUUCAAUUCAUUCUGAAUCCUGCAAUUUUCUUGUUUCUUUAGCUUCUUUUCAUCGUCCAAUUUCUAGUCAUCCUUGUAUCGUUUCUUUUUUGAGUUAAUUAGUUAACAAUAAUCGCCAGUGUAGGUGCGAAGAGCAUAACGACACCAUGGGUAAAAGUAUGUUAUUUAAUUAAUUGAGUUAAUUCGUUAGCGGAAUUUCAUUUUUAGGGUUUCUAUACUUAAUGUUUUAGUUUCUGUUUGAUUUAUUAGCAAUUGAUUGUGGAAG